rnacentral:pre_miRNA from 13 species
GUCACCUGCGGGGAACAACAUCCUGAUGCUGUCUGAGUAUGUGGUACAGAACUCCAGCAUUAGUGAUUUUGUUGCCAGUGGGA